GAAGAUGGAGGGUGGCAAGGUGGUGGCAGACUUCCCCAACUAUCACCAGACUUCGGAGGUCGUGGGUGACAAGUUGGUGGAGGUGAGUGUGCAAAGGUUCCUACUAUUUCUAUUUUUUUUUUUUUUUUCAUUUUUUUUCGGAGCUGGGGACCGAACCCAGGACCUUGCGCUUGCUAGGCAAGCGCUCUACCACUGAGCUAAAUCCCCAACCCCCCUACUAUUUCUAUUUUAAAGGGGCGCCUGCUGAGGCUCAGGGACAGCCCGUGGCUUGCCUCAGGUCACACAGCUAGUACACCAUGGAGGCAAGACCAGCUGACUUCUGGAGGAUGUUCUCAGCCUCUCCUAGAGGAUAUAGGGCAUAAGGAAAAGAACCAAAGUUAGUGUCUUCUGCUCUGGGUGAAAACUGGCCCGUUGGAAGAUUUGAUGAGAGCACCUUUUGAUUUGAUUUGAAUACUUUUCCGUGGUGAAAUGUCAGUCUGUAGGUCUUGAUUUGCAAAGCAAUGUUCCCCAGCCUGAGGUGUGCAGGGAGAGCUGAGGGCAGGAGACAUGGAGCAGCAGGUUUGUGUUCACAAGACUUAAUCUUCAAACAAUGAGCCAACCCUCAGUUUGCCCCUCUGUAUAAUGGGAACAACUGGGGCUCUUGGGAAUUAGAGAUGGA
rnacentral:lncRNA from 1 species